AACUUAUAGAUCGGACAACGUCCUUAAAAUCCUAAUAGCUUAUCGGCCUAACAAUCAAAAUCAUGACCAUAUUUUGGAUCUUUAUUUUAUUAACCCCUUAGAAUUAGAGUUUUUACACCACCUGAAUAAACUAGCCUAAAUGAGAGCAUUUUUAAUAAGUAACCGUGUUCUAAAAAUUUAUGCAAAAAAAAGCUUAUUAUAUAAAUCAUAAUAAGCUUUUUUAUUUUUGAA
rnacentral:misc_RNA from 1 species